rnacentral:rRNA from 1 species
UACGUAGGGGGCUAGCGUUGUCCGGAAUCAUUGGGCGUAAAGAGCGCGUAGGCGGCUUUGUAAGUUAGAGGUGAAAGCCCGGGGCUCAACCCCGGAACUGCCUUUAAGACUGCAUCGCUUGAAUCCGGGAGAGGUGAGUGGAAUUCCGAGUGUAGAGGUGAAAUUCGUAGAUAUUCGGAAGAACACCAGUGGCGAAGGCGGCUCACUGGACCGGUAUUGACGCUGAGGUGCGAAAGCGUGGGGAGCAAACAGG